GACGAACGCUGGCGGCGUGCCUAAUACAUGCAAGUCGAACGCAGUGGGGACGGGUGAGUAACACGUGGGUAACCUCCCAUCAGAGGGGAUAACACUUGGAAACAGGUGCUAAACCGAUACUGAUGGAUGAACCCGCGGUGCAUUAGCUAGUUGGUGAGGUAACGGCUAACCAAGGCCAAGAUGCAUAGCCAAGCUGAGAGGGUGAUCGGCCACACGGGGACUGAGACACGCCCCAGACUCCUACGAUAGUCAGCAGUAGGGAAUCUUCGGCAAUUGACGAAAGUCUGACCGGGCAACGGCGCGGGAGUGAAGAAGGUUUUCGGCUCGUAAUACUCUGUUGUUAGAGUAGAGGUAUCUAACCAGAAGGCCACGGCUAACUACGUGCCAGCAGCCGCGGUAAUAC
rnacentral:rRNA from 1 species